rnacentral:rRNA from 1 species
UGGGGAAUAUUGCACAAUGGGCGCAAGCCUGAUGCAGCCAUGCCGCGUGUGUGAAGAAGGCCUUAGGGUUGUAAAGCACUUUCAGCGAGGAGGAAGGUGGUGAGCUUAAUACGCUCAUCAAUUGACGUUACUCGCAGAAGAAGCACCGGCUAACUCCGUGCCAGCAGCCGCGGUAAUACGGAGGGUGCAAGCGUUAAUCGGAAUUACUGGGCGUAAAGCGCACGCAGGCGGUUUGUUAAGUCAGAUGUGAAAUCCCCGGGCUUAACCUGGGAACUGCAUUUGAAACUGGCAAGCUAGAGUCUCGUAGAGGGGGGUAGAAUUCCAGGUGUAGCGGUGAAAUGCGUAGAGAUCUGGAGGAAUACCGGUGGCGAAGGCGGCCCCCUGGACGAAGACUGACGCUCAGGUGCGAAAGCGUGGGGCAGCAAACAGGAUUAGAUACCCUGGUAGUCCACGCUGUAAACGAUGUCGAUUUUGGAGGGUUGUGCCCCUUGAGGCGUGGNUUCCGGAGCUAACGCGUUAAAUGACCGCCUGGGGAGUANGGCCNCAAGGUUAAAACUUAAAUGAAUUGCGGGUCU